UAUUUAUAUAGUUUAUUAAAACAUUACAUUUUCACUGUAAAAUUGAGAUUAAUCUCUUUAAAU
rnacentral:tRNA from 1 species